AGCUCAAAUCCAGUUCAACAACUGAAUAUAAAUUAAUAAUUAAGCAAUGUUUCUAACUGAAAUGAUGAAUAUUGUCGGAACGUCAUCUUUCUUUUACAGAGGAAUUAAACAGUUCAUAUCUUACACAUUUCUAAAAAUAAUUAUUUUUUUAAAAUAGAAUGUUAAACCAUUAAACAAUUAUGAUUGCAAUAACACAUAAUAUAUAUUAUGUACACGCAUGAUUAAUUGAAAUAAAUGAUAUAAUUUAUAUUGCUAGCACAUAUAAAUGUAAUAAGGAAAAAUAAAGUAGGUAGAAUUAUAAUAAUGUAUUUAUAGUUUUACUUUAAAAAAAUUAUCCAAAAUACAUUUUAGAUUAUAGUAAUACCUAACAUUUGACAAGGAUAUACAACCGGGGUGAAUCAUUUUCAAGUAUCACAAUAAACAUUUAAAAUUACUAAAAAAAACAAGAUAAUAUUAAAAUAAUGAUUAUGCGAAACUAAAAACAUGUAAAGUUUAUCGAUGCUUCAAUGAAAGAUGCAAAUAAAGACACUGUGUACAG
rnacentral:lncRNA from 1 species